UACAGAGGGUGCGAGCGUUAAUCGGAAUUACUGGGCGUAAAGCGUGCGCAGGCGGUUUUGUAAGCCAGAUGUGAAAGCCCCGGGCUUAACCUGGGAAUGGCAUUUGGGACUGCAAGGCUUGAGUGCGGCAGAGGAGACUGGAAUUCCUGGUGUAGCAGUGAAAUGCGUAGAUAUCAGGAGGAACACCGAUGGCGAAGGCAGGUCUCUGGGCUGACACUGACGCUCAUGCACGAAAGCGUGGGGAGCAAACAGG
rnacentral:rRNA from 1 species